GCCGGGCGCGGUGGCGGGCGCCUGUAGUCCCAGCUACUAGGAGGCUGAGGCGGGAGAAUGGCGUGAACCCAGGAGGCAGAGCUUGCAGUGAGCCGAGAUCGCGCCACUGCACUCCAGCCUGGGUGACAGAGUGAGACUCCGUCUCAA
rnacentral:sRNA from 1 species